UGAGCAAACUCCACAUGAGGUGCUUAGUUCAAAGUGGAAUGAGAUUUGCCUUUCCCUUGAUUUGAAAGUGGGACUCCAAGUCUAUCCCACGUGAGAUUCAUAGGUCAAAAACCCAUUUAGAGAACUUUUUUUUUUGCCUUCUGAAUUUUCAGCUCCAUUUAACAUGAAACUUUGAACCCACUUUGAAUUUUCAAGCCUUCUGACAACAAAGCUUUACUCCUCUUGUUUUUUGUUAUGUGACUUUAAAGCUUUUAAGUUCAACAACUUUCCUUCUUUUCCACGUGAGCAAGCCCUCUCGUGCGGUGCGACUUUAUCCAUUCCCCCUCUUGUGUAAUUGCUUCAGAAGUUCUCCUUUUCUUGACUCUAACAAGGUGGUUUUCAUCCAACAGCAACCGUAAUACUUGGGCUUUAAAUGAUUUCGUAAUGUUUUGGAAUUCUUUUCAGGUUUCAAACGUUGAUUUCCAAACGAAGAUGGGUGAGUAUUGAUUUGUUCCAAUUUACCCUUUUUCCUCCCUAAACCGUCGAAAGAAAAUCGAGACGAAGAGGAGAAGAGAUCGAGCAGGAGUCCCAGGAAACGACAUAUCUUCGUUUUGGUUGUCGGACCAACUAUUUUGUAGUACCGAGUUUGUUGAAGACAAUUGUUGAUUCAUGGCUCCAAAGAGUUUCUCUGCUCUUUUUUCUGUCCUCCCUCUCUUGUUGCAGCUGAUGCCUAUUUAUAAGCAUCAUAGGAGGGUUCUAGAGCUUGUUAUGUGGGGGGGGGGGGAGAUGGAGGGCAUGACUUCCUGCCACUCUCUCUUAACCUCUCUUAAUUGACCCUACGUUUUUUUGUUGCAGGAAAGGGGGAACCUGUUUAUUACUUCCCCCUUUUGUAGGAAAUUUUCCUUAUUUACUUAUUUAUAUUUUAUUUAUUUGUUUAUGGAUAUUUGGUUUGUAUGUAAAGCCCAUUCUUAACUUUUGGGCUGGUUUACAUCUUUGUUUUGCCUUA